rnacentral:rRNA from 1 species
UCACGCCAGUGGCAUCGCCGAGUAGCUAAGUGCGGAAGAGAUAACCGCUGAAAGCAUCUAAGCGGGAAACUCGUCUCAAGAUGAGUCUUGCCGGGGCCUUGAGCCCCCUGAAGGGUCGUUGUAGACCACGACGUUGAUAGGUUGGGUGUGGAAGCGCAGUAAUGCGUUAAGCUAACCAAUACUAAUUGCCCGUGAGGCUUGACCCUAUAACUUUGAUGG